UGUUAAACUUUAACCAUUUUCCGAGUUCAUGAUGAAAAUGUUGAUAAUGGUUAAAAUUCAACAACUAAAAUGACUGAAAAAAAAGUCGCCAUGUUUGCAAUCCCUGAAAUGUUUGUUUUGUUUAUGGUCUCGUGUUGUAAUCGUAAAUAAUUUUUAUAAAUUCUCCUGAGAUAAUACAAACUGCGAGAAUUGUGAAGCAACGGAUAUCCGAAUUCGAAAACAGCAGCAGUUCCGCCGCGGAUAGAAAUCCGUCAGUUGACUCAACGAAACCUCCAGUUGUCGCCACGUCUAUGAAAUGUUCCGGAACUUCCUACAUUUGCUGCAUCAAGAGGUUCAUGUCGGUUCGUUCCGAAAAUAUGCGAGGAAAAAAUCAGCACUUAAAAAACUGCAGAGCGGGAAGCGUGAUGUGCGAACAUAGAAGCAGCAGCGCAUCAUCCGCAGUGGUAGCGCAGUGGCCGAUACAAGGAUAAUCGAGGCAACGAUUCCCUCGACCGGCUAAACUUUUUCCGCUAAUGCAACAUCGUAGUGCCAGCUCCUCUACCAGCAUCCAACAGAGCAGAUAGCUGUGAAGGCUACU